rnacentral:rRNA from 1 species
UACGAAGGGGGCUAGCGUUGCUCGGAAUCACUGGGCGUAAAGCGCACGUAGGCGGAUCUUUAAGUCAGGGGUGAAAUCCUGGAGCUCAACUCCAGAACUGCCUUUGAUACUGGGGAUCUCGAGUCCGGAAGAGGUGAGUGGAACUCCGAGUGUAGAGGUGAAAUUCGUAGAUAUUCGGAAGAACACCAGUGGCGAAGGCGGCUCACUGGGACGGUACUGACGCUGAGACGCGAAAGCGUGGGGAGCAAACAGG